rnacentral:lncRNA from 1 species
AUCACCGUAAGGGAAGGAAAGAAAGGAGGCCCAAGUCACUGCAAGGUCCAGCGUCCCCGCUGAGUGACAGCGGGCACAUGGGCGGGACUUAAAAGAGCGGGACUUACAAAGGGCGGGACUUACAAAGGGCGGGACUUGCAAAGGGCGGGACUCCCAAAGUGCUUUGGUAGCUAGCGAGGGCUUUGAGACGGCCGAGAGUUUGAGCGCCAAGGCUCUCUCUCCCCAGGGGACUCUGCAACCUGACUAGGUGCUCCUUCCCUGAGGUGUGUGCUCGACAAAGCAUAGUAACAUUCCAGGGAGCUGCCCGGGGAAGCUUAACGCUCGAUGCGGGUGGUAGGAAUGUAUCAUGGUGGGAGAGUCAUGGCAGCAGGCAGCUGGAACAGGACACUAAGUAAGAACACCUUCAACUACAAGCAGAAGUCAAGGAGAACUGAAAGUGGGUCCCUGAAGUCAGCUCUGGAAAACUGAGAAGAGUGCUGCGUGCAGAAUGCUUCGCUGGAUGUUUUUUUCCUCUAUUCUCACAGACAACUGGAACCUUGAGAGCCAAGGGAGAUUGUGGAGAGGAUGUGAGCAGAUGGCCGCUGAGGAUAGCUGACCGGGUGGGUGGGCUGGAACCUAGGCCAGGACCUGCCACCUGAGGAUUGUGCCUGCGAUGUCCAUAUGAUUGUGAACAGCUAAACAGGGAGCUCUGCUCUGUUGAAAAUCAUAAAGUUGAAAAUGAAAAGAGAUAAAACCUUAAGCACAGAAGAAUAUUUUGUCUUUGGUGAAAAGAACAACUUAAGAUUAAUUUUAUUUUUAUGCUGUAUAUGCGUGUGGGUAUGUGCAUGCAAAUUUGGGUGACUCCAAAGGUCAGAGCAUCAAAUCACUUGGAGCUGGGAUUAUAGGCAAAUGAAAGCUGCCAAGCAUAGGAAUCUAACGAAUGUCCUCUGUAUGAGCAGAGAGUACUCCUUACUGCAGAGCCAUGUUUCCAGCUUAAGGAGGGCUUUUAGAAAGAAGAUUGAUAGAGAAUACAUACUUAAUAGUUUGAUGUACUAAAAAGGUUAAUUUUUAUUCACUAUAGACACUAGAAAUAAUAUUUACAAUUUAUAUAAUGCAUGUGAUUAUAGAACUAGAAGUAACAAUAUUAAAUAUAAAUAAAUUAUUGUAAGUCAGAUAAGAGAGAUGGAAACCCCAGUAGGAAAAACCCAUUAAAGUAACUAAAAUGUGGACAAAUGAAGGUGUAUCGUUUAUUUUUACAAUUGUAAUGUUAUAUAAUUAGUAAGCACAGUUUUAUAUAAGAAAGGUGUUUAUUUGCACUAGGAAAAUGUAAAACACAAAGCAGAAGACCAUAUCGAACUAGCACUAAUUUAAGAUUUAGUAACAAGAGCUACCAGGGAGGUGAAGAUAUGAUACCCUUAUAUUCUGGCAGCCUGACAGAAGCUUCUUAAGUUACAACAUCCCCAAGCCAUUUUCCAAAGCCAACUCUCAUCAUAGAACCCUUGAGCUAGCAAAAUACACUGAUUUUAAUAUUGUUUAUGGUUUUGGAAGCAUGGAAACAAACUGUCUUUGUUACAGAACAUGAUCUAAUACCUAUCAUGAUUUACUUUUAAGAACAAAGAUAUAUUAAUGUAUAACACAAUGUAUGUAUAAUUACAUAUGUGUAAUGUAUAUCACAAAG